rnacentral:rRNA from 1 species
ACGAAGGGUGCAAGCGUUACUCGGGAUUACUGGGCGUAAAGCGUGCGUAGGCGGUUUGUUAAGUCUGUCGUGAAAGCCCCGGGCUCAACCUGGGAAUGGCGAUGGAAACUGGCGAGCUAGAGUACGGUAGAGGAGAGUGGAAUUCCUGGUGUAGAGGUGAAAUUCGUAGAUAUCAGGAGGAACACCAGUGGCGAAGGCGGCCUUCUGGACGGUGACCGACGCUGAGACGCGAAAGCGUGGGGAGCAAACAGGA